rnacentral:rRNA from 1 species
GACGAACGCUGGCGGCGUGCCUAAUACAUGCAAGUCGAGCGCUGAAGGUUGGUACUUGUUCCAACUGGAUUAGCAGCGAACGGGUGAGUAACGCGUGGGUAAUCUGCCUUUGAGCGGGGGACAACAUUUGGAAACGAAUGCUAAUACCGCAUAAAAUCUUUAAACACAAGUUUUAAUUUUGAAAGAUGCUAUUGCUUCACUCAAUGAUGAUCCCGCGUUGUAUUUGCUAGUUGGUUAAGUAAAGGCUUACCAAGGCGAACAUACAUAGCCGACCUGAGAAGGUGAUCCGCCAACACGGGAACUGGACACGGGCCAAACCCCCUAGGGAAGGAGCCAUAAGGAAACCUCGGGCAUGGGCGAAAGGCCGAACGGGCCAACGCGGGGGAGUGAAGGAGGGUCUCGGGUCCGAAAACUCUGUUGGUAGGGAAGGAAGUAGGGGGGAGUGAAAAGUUCACCAAGUGACGGUAACUAACCAGAAAGGGACGGCUAACUACGUG